rnacentral:rRNA from 1 species
GACGAACGCUGGCGGCGUGCCUAACACAUGCAAGUCGUACGGGACCGGGGCAACUCCGGUUCAGUGGCAGACGGGUGCGUAACACGUGAGGAACCUGUCCGGUGGCGGGGGAGUAGCCGGCCCAACGGCCGGGUAAUACCGCAUACGUUCGUUUGGGGGCGAUCCCUGGAUGAGGAAAGCAGCCGCAAGGUUGCGCCGACGGAGGGCCUCGCGACCUAUCAGCUUGUUGGCGGGGUAACGGCCCACCAAGGCGACGACGGGUAGCUGGUCGU